rnacentral:tRNA from 1 species
GGGCCCGUAGCUCAGCUUGGUUAGAGCGACAGGCUCAUAACCUGCUGGUCGCCGGUUCAAGUCCGGCCGGGCCCACCA